UUUAGGCUGCACAUUCGUUUUCUUAUAUAUACAUAUUCGAUAUUAUAACUUUGUCCCAACAAGAAAUGAAUGUAUGUAUCAGGCAGAAAAAAAUAUUUCCAAGCCCAUACAUUUUUCUUCAAUUUUUUUGGGAACUUUUUUAAUUGUUGCACGCAGCUUACGUAAUUGUCGAAUAGUGAACCUUGUUCUGUAAAUGCCCAUAUAUACAUAUUCGAACUUGCUACCAAAUAAAUGUUUAGUCGCAUUUGACUAAUAGUUACCCUCGAGUUGCGAAUCCAGAUAAAUGAGCUCCUGACAGGCUCCAAACACAGGAGACAGCUGCGCUUGACUGGCGCUAAACAAUGGAAAUAAAUACAAUUUAAAUCGAGUUUUUGACCAAAGGAACAAACGCGUACAUACGGACAAUACAUAUGUUAGACAGUAUACAUGAACGCAUACACACAUCUGUGUGCAUUCAUUUCCCCAGCUUUCUACACACUUCCCCGGCAGAGUUCCAUCUCAGGAGAGUCACAGUUUGAUGAUAACAUGUCCGCAUCAAUCAUUGCGGUUCUGCAUACACAUACAAAGAUAUACAAAAUGAAAAUGAAACCAAGUUAAAUAAAUGUUCA